GUGACCUCAAAUCAGGUAGGACUACCCGCUGAACUUAAGCAUAUCAAUAAGCGGAGGAAAAGAAACUAACAAGGAUUCCCCUAGUAACUGCGAGUGAAGCGGGAAAAGCUCAAAUUUAAAAUCUGUCAGUCUUUGGCUGUCCGAGUUGUAAUCUAGAGAAGUGUUAUCCGCGCUGGACCGUGUACAAGUCUCCUGGAAUGGAGCGUCAUAGAGGGUGAGAAUCCCGUCUUUGACACGGACUGCCAGGGCUUUUGUGAUGCGCUCUCAAAGAGUCGAGUUGUUUGGGAAUGCAGCUCAAAAUGGGUGGUAAAUUCCAUCUAAAGCUAAAUAUUGGCGAGAGACCGAUAGCGAACAAGUACCGUGAGGGAAAGAUGAAAAGAACUUUGGAAAGAGAGUUAAACAGUACGUGAAAUUGCUGAAAGGGAAACGCUUGAAGUCAGUCGCGUCAUUCAGGGAUCAACCUUGCUUUUGCUUGGUGUACUUUCUGGUUGACGGGUCAACAUCAAUUUUGACCAUUGGAAAAAGAUUAAGGGAAUGUGGCAUACAUAGUGAUGUGUUAUAGCCCUUGGUUGCAUACAAUGGUUGGGAUUGAGGUACUCAGCACGCCGCAAGGCCAGGUUUACCAUGUACGUGCUAGGA
rnacentral:rRNA from 2 species